UGACGGGGGAAACUGGGGAAGAUGGGGUGCAGGAGGAGAGUUUGGAGGGGCCAAGGAGCACCUUGGCCGUCAGGGGUCUGGCGAGAGUGGUGAGGGUGGAGGGGCUGGCUCAGGCAAGCUGGAUAGACUGGGAGAAGCACGGAAGGGUGGCAGGGACGGGUCAUGGGGCAGGGCAACAUCAGCCUGAGAGUGAAGGGCCUGAGCCAGGGUCGGAGAGGAAGGGGAAGCCAGACAUUCAUCCCGGUCACUUUUGGUUACAGGACGUGGCGGCUGGUCGGACCAGGGGAGCUGCUGGGCAGGGUGUGGCCUCAGGGCUGGGCAGUGGAGGUAUAGCUGGCAGCAGUGGGCAGGUGAGGACACCACUCUACUGGGCAGGUGAGUCCCCUUUCCAUCGCUGGGCCUUGCUUCACCCUCUCCUCUUCCAGAAAGAGGUUUAGGGGAGCGAGGGCCAGGGAGGGAAGAGGCUGUCCUCCCAGAAGUGUGGCAGGGCAAAGGCAGGACAGUUAGCAAAGGUGACAUCUUCUCGGGGGGUGCCGAGAGCGGACAAGGCUGGGGGGCUGUGGGCCCAUACCAGGUAGAAAGAGUUCUUCAAGAGAGCAGGACAGGAGAGGCAGAAGCUGCCAGUGAAAUCCAUCACAUGCCAGGCCUGGGGCAGAUGGGGAUGAGAUAGGGCACAGGAUGCAGAGGGGUCCCCAGCCGCCACCACACCCACCGCAAUUCACUUAGUAGAAGGCACAGGAGUGGCUCCGGCAGAGCCUUCUGAGGCUGUGCUGGAGCCUCGAGGGCCGGAGAGCGGGAAAGAAGGGCAGUGCUCAGUACAAGCAGGACAUCACCAGGAGGGAGCAGCGGCUGCUUGUGGUGGGCUCAGAGAGAGAACGCAGCAAGGAGGCUGCAGCGAGCCCAGCUACAAGCACACUGUUCCCAUGAGGCACUGCGGCCCAGGGGCUGACGCGGAAUGGGCCCACAGUGGACUUAGCGACACUGUAUGCCCUCACCGCUCAGCCCCUGGGUCUGGCACGACAGACAGUACAGCAUCCACGGGAGUCAAGGGCAUGGACGAGGCCAGACUAGGCGAGGCAGGUGGGGCAGAGAGAAUGAGAGUUUCAGGAGUGAGGUUGGGCACAGGCAGGGGAGAAGAGUAGCUGCCAGGUGGCGAGCCAUGGGCACUGGCCUCCAGAGCCCGAGGCCAUGGUGGGCCUCGUGGGCAGCGACGGAGCAGUGAUCGGUGCCUCUGUGCUUGCGCUGGUGACAAGGCCAAGUCUCCAGUAGGUGGAUGUUCCCGCCAGCUGCUGAAGGCCAGGACGCAAGGUCAGACAUGCUGGAGGGACAUGACAUGGUCUGGUGUGACGACGAGGACAGAAAGGGUGCUGUCCGGCCUUCCUGGACACUCGCGCUGGCAUCGCGGGGAUGCUGCAGUGAAAAGCGGGUCUGUUCCUUUACUUUGCCAUUGGAGUCUUCACACAACUGCUGCUCUCUGGACCCCUAGAUCCCACAAGAUGACAAGAAAUGGUGCUACCCAGCUCACGUCUGGGCCUUGGAACCCGGGACUUCUUCAAGUCUGUCUAGCUCUGAACCAAGUGCAUGCUGCAUUCCAGAACCACUACACUGCCCACUCAGGAACCGGCUCCAAAGGUAGAGCUGAAGGAACAGUACGCCACCAACCCGACCAGGCAGACACCAGCAAGAGCAGCACCCGCAGCACCCCACCCAAUUGGGACAACUCCAUCUGCAUGGCCACCCCUGCCACACCAUCUCCGGCGGAACAGCCCCCCACACCUCCUCCUCUGUCCUUCUUCACCCUUUCCUAUGAAUUCUUCUUUCUGUCUUUCCUUUGCUUGAGAGACUCGAAGCCCCUGCGGCUCCGUCCCCUUCGCCCCCUGAAUUCAAUUUGCACUAAGUCGUUUGCACUGGUUUGGGGCCGGAGGCAGCCUCAAGUCUCUCCGUAUGAGUGUGUGUGCGCGUGGCGGCCUCCUUGGCCAAUGCCGUGCUGGCACCUGCCUGCCCGUUCACCUGUCUGGGGGCGCCUGGCACGGCCGAAUGUCUGAGGUCCCACCACCUCGCCUAGUCCAAAGCUCCAGAACGAGGAGCAAUCUUCAUCCUUCCACAGGCCCGCCCAUGCCCCUCCCCCCACCCGGGGCUUCAACAGAAGCCUCGGCGUCAUCAAUAAACACAGUUACCGCAA